UACGGGGGGAGCAAGCGUUGUUCGGAUUUACUGGGCGUAAAGGGCGCGUAGGCGGCCACCGAAGGUCAGUUGUGAAAUCUCUGGGCUUAACCCAGAAAGGUCAACUGAUACUGCGGGGCUAGAGUGCAGAAGGGGCAACUGGAAUUCUCGGUGUAGCGGUGAAAUGCGCAGAUAUCAGGAAGAACACCAGUGGCGAAAGCAGCUCUCUGGGACGGUACUGACGCUGAGACGCGAAAGCGUGGGGAGCGAACAGG
rnacentral:rRNA from 1 species